UACAGAGGUCCCAAGCGUUGUUCGGAUUCACUGGGCGUAAAGGGCGCGUAGGCGGUGCGGUAAGGCACCUGUGAAACCUCUGGGCUUAACCCAGAGCCUGCAGGCGAAACUGCCGUGCUAGAGUGUGGGAGAGGUGCGUGGAAUUCCCGGUGUAGCGGUGAAAUGCGCAGAUAUCAGGAGGAACACCGAUGGCGAAGGCAGGUCUCUGGGCAUUAACUGACGCUGAGGAGCGAAAGCAUGGGGAGCGAACAGG
rnacentral:rRNA from 1 species